GACGAACGCUGGCGGCGUGCCUAAUACAUGCAAGUCGAACGCACAGUUUAUACCGUAGCUUGCUACACCAUAGACUGUGAGUUGCGAACGGGUGAGUAACGCGUAGGUAACCUGCCUGGUAGCGGGGGAUAACUAUUGGAAACGAUAGCUAAUACCGCAUAAUAUUGAUUAUUGCAUGAUAAUUAAUUGAAAGGUGCAAUUGCACCACUACCAGAUGGACCUGCGUUGUAUUAGCUAGUAGGUGAGGUAACGGCUCACCUAGGCGACGAUACAUAGCCGACCUGCGAGGGUGAUCGGCCAAACUGGGACUGAGACACGGCCCAGACUCCUACGGGAGGCAGCAGUAGGGAAUCUUCGGCAAUGGACGAAAGUCUGAACGAGCAACGCCGCGUGAGUGAAGAAGGUUGUCGGAUCGUAAAGCUCGGUUGUAAGAGAAGAACGGGUGUGAGAGUGGAAAGUUCACACUGUGACGGUAUCUUACCAGAAAGGGACGGCUAACUACGUG
rnacentral:rRNA from 1 species